GACGAACGCUGGCGGCGUGCCUAACACAUGCAAGUCGAGCGGACUUAUGCAAAGCACUAAGAGCUUGAGGAAAAGUUUCUUCAUAUAAUAAAGAAGAAACGAAGCCGAGUCGAGUUUUUAGUGCUUUGCAGAAAGUUAGCGGCGGACGGGUGAGUAACGCGUGAGUAACCUGCCUUUCAGUGGGGAAUAACGUUCCGAAAGGAACGCUAAUACCGCAUAAUGUAUUGAUGCCGCAUGGCAUUAAUACCAAAGAUUUAUCGCUGAAAGAUGGACUCGCGUCUGAUUAGCUAGUUGGUGAGGUAAUGGCUCACCAAGGCGACGAUCAGUAGCCGAACUGAGAGGUUGAUCGGCCACAUUGGGACUGAGACAUGGCCCAGACUCCUACGGGAGGCAGCAGUGGGGAAUAUUGCGCAAUGGGGGAAACCCUGACGCAGCAACGCCGCGUGAAGGAAGAAG
rnacentral:rRNA from 1 species